UGUGUACUUAAAAAAGUAAAAACCGAAGAAAAAUAUCAUUUUUCAACUAACGGUUUUGUUAUAAACUGUAUUUCGAUCCAUUACUGUGUAUUUUUAUACACUUUGAAUACUAUUUAAAUAUAAUAUAGUAAUUAUAAAUACUCCGACUAUAGGAAUUAUGAUGUCAACUUCUGGACCAGAUAUGAGCCAAAAAUCGAAAAAAAGCGUGAUCACACAUUCUAGUGAAUACACAAUGGACCAAAACUCACAAUUGGGUUUUUUCAAGAUUUAACCACUGGAUUUAAAUUUCUCGCCAAUUCAAUUAUUGCCCUGUACCCAUCGGUUAUAUUAAAAUCAUCUGGGAACCCAGCCUGUCUCCUUGCGGGUAAAUGAGAUAAAACAAAAUUACCAUUCUCAGAACUAUUGCCAUAUUCAUAUUGUUCCGAACCUGGUUAACGAGAUUAUUGUGGGCUAACCUGAUUAUAGUGAAACCAGCAACCCAUUAACUGAGCCUCUGAUAUUACCCUUCUGACUGCAUUUCGUAACGCAGUUUCAUAAUCGGUUAUGACUUGGAGGUUACCCCAGUUUGCCACUUGGAAUUGCAGCUCCUCUUUUAAAUAUUGUAAAAAUCGUAUACAAACAUUUUCUGAAGAAAAAAAAAAGUGC